rnacentral:rRNA from 1 species
AUUGAACGCUGGCGGCGUGCCUCAAGCAUGCAAGUCGAACGAGAAAGCCCCUUCGGGGGUGAGUAGAGUGGCGCACGGGUGAGUAACACGUGGAUAAUCUACCAAGAAGUUGGGAAUAACAGCUGGAAACGGUUGCUAAUACCGAAUACGCAAGACAUUUAUCUGUUUUGGAAAGGGGGCCUCUGUAUAUGCUUCCGCUUUUUGAUGAGUCCGCGCCCCAUUAGCUAGUUGGUAAGGUAAUGGCUUACCAAGGCUACGAUGGGUAGCUGGUCUGAGAGGAUGAUCAGCCACACUGGGACUGGAACACGGCCCAGACCGCUACGGUGGGCAGCAGCUAGGAAUAUUGCGCAAUGGACGAAAGUCUGGCGCAGCGACGCCGCGUGAGGGAUGAAGGCCUUCGGGUUGUAAACCUCUGUCAGUAGGGAAGAAACAGUUCGGUGCUAAUCAGCCGAACCUUGACGGUACCUACAAAGGAAGGACCGGCUAACUCCGUGCCAGCAGCCGCGGUAAUAC